UUGAGAUGUGCAGUCAUGCCAGGCGAGCACCCUCAGGCUGUGUGCCAUCAGCCAGCAGGGACUGGUGAGGUGACUGAUUUCUCAGGCAGCCAGAAGCUGCUGGGACACCUUUGAGCACCUGUGUGUUAACAGCACCCUUGGGAAGGCGGGCUCCUUUGUGGGAGGAGGGAAUCCAGCACACUGCAGGAAAAUGCACGUGUGGAGGGUCUCUUCUGCACACCCUUUCCCACUGAGGAGCCCUCAGGGCUUGCACCUGCUGGCAAGCUGAUACAAGACAUUUGACACAAUUUAGGACAUAGAAGUGGUUUGCAGUGUCAGACCAUGCUCAGGCCCAGCCUCCCUCAGCCUGCAGGAUGCCAUUUCAGCUGCGCUUUGACCUACAAGCAGCACACAGCACUUACUGGCUCACCACAGGUUUAAAAAGAACCACAAAUGCUUCCAAGCCUUUUUCUGAUAAAACUGUAACAAAUCACACUGGUUUACCACAAAUAAGCAGGCAGGAGUGGUGGUGGCACCGGAGGCAAUGCGUGUGGAUGGAGAGGCCCUCAGGCCCUCGGAAGUUCAGACAUGGAGAGCUUGGGAGGAGGGAAGGAUCAACUCAUCCAAGCAAAAGCUUGCUGCUGUGCCCUGGAGAGCUUACUGCUCAACCCAUGAAUGUUUUAAACUUCUGGAGCUUGACAAACCACAUUCAGCCAGUGAUGUCCAUGAGCAUAAUCCUUGAGGCCUGACAGUUCCAACCAGUGGUUCCCCUCGUGAUGAACAAGUGUCUUUGCUGUUGAGUACACCCUGUUUUAGAGGACAAGGAGGAAUGGUCUGCAGCUCCUGUUGAGGUGGCAGCACCAUGCACAUAAAGUUGAGUUCCAGAUGCAAGAACAUGGCUCUGUGCCAUCUACACAGGAUGCAUGGGUUCAGUACUGUGGGCUGUGGCUUGACAAAGAGGUGUGUUCCACUCUGAGGUAUGGAAAGCUUUGAUGAACAUUCUUUGAUGACAAUGAAAAGAGCCAUGAGUUACAUGCAGAAAACAAAAAGGAACUCCUGGUUUUAUCUUCUCCUUUUCCCACACAAUGGACUGACUAAUUGGAAAAAGGAUUGCUGACUUCAGUCAAUCGUUUUCAGCUUGGCUGAAGGCUGGCCUUUUCAAGCCUCACGGAUGUGCAUAGCUUGGACUCUGUUCUACUUACACAGAACAAAGAGCUCCCUAAACAAAAGCAGCAACGUUUCAGAGUCCAAAUCUGGGUGUCCUUGAAACAUGCGUCUGAUCUCACCUCUCUGAACAAUGAGCCUCCUUACAAAGAAAGUGCCAACUGUUCUCCCAGAGUUCAUUUGAACUUCCUCCAGAUUCAGAAGAAAGAGAAGCAAGAAAUUCCACUUAGGAUGCCAGCAGGUCUCGUUUGUGUAGCUGGCAGCUCUGAGGGAUUCCAGAUGGCUUCAGCCCUUCUUUUGAACAUAUCUUUUGAUCUCAUUUAAGUUUCCUCCUGAUUUCACCUGCUCUGUGUUUACUGACUGAAGGAUACGCAGGUGGACAUAUUAACUUCACCAUAGGACACAAAUGGAUUUCAUUUUGACUUUGUGUGCAGGAGGGAGGUUGUGUAGUACAGCUAAUGCAGCUCCAGUUCCACUCCAUGAUUUAUGAUUCAGAAACCACAGUAUAAUUUUAACAGACAGAACAAACAAAUGGAAACCCUUGUCUGUCCCCAGUGUGUGUUUUCUAAAUGCUACGACGUGUACUCUUCAAUCUAGUGGUCACCUAGGAAGUCAAGAAAGAAAUGUGUUUAGAAUUCAUUUCUGUGAGCACAUAUUUUUUCCCAUUCUUUGUUUACAUAUUUAUAGAUCUCUUUAUUCACAAACAAGUUGUUUGUCAACCUUUUAAGCUAUGUUUAGCUAUUGGACAUUUCCAUAAAAAGUGGCAAAAAAUAAUUCAUUUCAGCAAAGACAGCAACCUAAUUACAAUUAACAUGGUAGCUGAAUCUGCAUGUUGUGGAAACAGGGAGAGCAGUCAGGAUCACACACUGGUUGACUGCUGACAGAAGAAGACAUCAGAAUGCAGCAGAAAAGUGAGAUUGAUGAGCUGGAUUCUCAUCAAGGAGGACAGGAAACGGGUCAGUCUGCAGAGACGCAGGACUUUGCUGGUUGGAUUAGCAUGUGCCUUCAUCUGAGAAGGGAUCUUCCUAGCCCAUUUAAACUGCUGAGUGUAGAGCACUUCUUAACUUCAGUUUUGGUAGAUACCCUUUCUGCCUGUUGGCUGUGUCAUGAUGAGACUCAGGUGUAAAAUUUUCUCCAUAGCGUGGUCUCUGUGGGGUGCACAAGGUAGAAGAAAUCAGUUUCACAUUUUACCAGGUGUGCUGCUUCUGUGAGAAGCUGCCAGAAGCACACAGCCAAUGCCAGCCAGCUCCAAGACAGACCUGCCACUGGCCAAGGCUGUACACAUCAGUGACAGUGGAAGAGUCUCUGGGGUAACAGGAAGAGGGAAAAGUCUCUCUUCGGGAGACAGAGAAGAGCAGAGUGAGAACAUG